UUUUUUUUUUUUUUAAAAAAAAAAUUAAUUAAUUUUAUUAGGGAAAGUAAAUACAAAGGCAUAAGCCACAGUUUCAUCUUAUCAAGAUAUUAUUCAUUAGGAAAUUUACAGCAUUCACUGCAAGAGAAAAACUUAUUAUAUAUAUAUGUGUGUGUGAAAUGGAAGGGAGGGUCACAUGAGGUUGCAGGAAUAGUUCAUACAGCUGAAAAGGGUGUAAUCUUGAAAUCAAGAUCCCAUAGCUCAAAAUUUCCCUCGACAAAAUCAUAGUGUGCACCUUUCAAUGCCAGAGUUUUUUUCAGCAAUCCUUCUCUCACGAAUGGAUACGUCAACAAGUUUCCUAGCGAAACAUUCACAGCCUCCUUCUCGCAAUUGUGGCAUUGCUCUUCAAAACUCAAGCUGUUGCAGUCUGUCUUAACCUUGGCCUUUGCAGUUGAGCAGAUUUGGACCCAAUUUUCUAUGAAUUCACUAGAAGUGGUCCCAUCAUCUGGGAUAGACAUGAGCCCCUUAAUACCACCGCAGCGGCUGUGGCCAAUGACUACUAUAUUCUCCACCUUUAGAUGCAGCACUGC
rnacentral:misc_RNA from 1 species